rnacentral:lncRNA from 1 species
AUGCUUUAUGCGGCAGAAGGAGUGCUUUGGAGGAGUUUUUAAAUUUGUUUUUUUUUUAAAUCUUAUCGGUUUUAAUUGUAGCAAUGAUUCAAGAAACGUUAGUAGGUGCCCAUAACUUCGGUGGUGGAGAUCCAAAAGUGAACAAGACAGUGUUCUGGCUGCUAAAUUCUUCUUAACUGGUUAUGCCUGGAGACCUUCACUUGGUUCUGUGCCAGCACUGCCCAUGAACUUCAUAGACUGUGAUCUUUGCUAAGGCCUAAAUGAAUGAAGUGCAGGUGCAGGACCGGAAGCAGAAGACAGAAAGUGGAGACCAGAUGUUUGAAGCUGGGUAAAGGCAGGGAUGGAGCAGGAACCGAGGAACAAACCUUGGAA